GGUGUUUGGGAUGUUUUUCUGGAGCCUAGGUCGCUGGUGACUUGUAGAGAUGGACUUGGGCAGAGGGACCUUCAAACUCAACGUGCUCAUCUCUUGUUUUCCUCAAACCAGGAUUUCCCAUUGCCACUUCUUGUGAGGCUGUGAGGAAGAUGUCCCUGGACACUGAGGCAGAGCAGGAGCUGAAAAUGGAGAGCAGGGAGGACAAAUCCCUGCGGCAGAACCUCAUGGCAGAGGCCAUUUUGAGCAGCUCCAUGGCGCAGGAACCCAACGGGGAGGAAAAGCCCCUGAGAUGCCACACGAGGAGGGGCUGCAAACGCAGAUGGCGGGGAUCUGAGGGGGAAAGAGCCAGCCUGGGCUGGGAAGGCGGCCGGAGAUGGAGCCAGAGCUCAGAGCUGGUGGUCCAUGAGGAGGUUCCUGAUGGGGAGAAGCCCCAGAAGUGCUUGGAGUUUGGGAGGGGCUUCCAGAUAAGCUCCAACCUGAUCCAGCACCAGAGAACCCACACUGGGGAACGGCCCUACGAGUGUGAUCAGUGCAGGAAGAGGUUUCGGAGCAGCUCUAGUCUCCUCGUGCACCAGCGCACGCACACAGAGGAGAGGCCCUUCCGCUGCCCCGACUGCGGGCAGGGCUUCAGGCAGAGCUCCCAUCUUGUCCGGCACCAGUGAAUGCACACUGGGGAGAGGCCCCAUAAGUGUGAAGAAUGUGGGAGGAGCUUCAGGGAGAGCUCCACCCUGAUCCAGCACCAGAGGACCCACACUGGGGAACGGCCCUACGAGUGUGGGGAGUGUGGGAAGAGAUUCGGACAUCGCGCCAACCUCCUUGUCCACCAAAAGAUCCACACUGGGGAGAGGCCCUGCGAGUGUUCCGAAUGUGGGAAGGGGUUUAGGAUUAGCUCUGAUCUCCUCCAGCACUAUCGGAUUCACACGGAGGAGAGGCCCUGCUACUGCCCCAACUGCGGGCAGGGAUUCAAGCGCAACUCCAACCUCGUCACCCACCGGCGCAUCCACACUGGGGAGAGGCCCUACGAGUGUCCCCAGUGUGGGAAGAGCUUCUCCAGGAGCUCUACAUUGACCCGACACCAACGGAGGCACCGGUGAGGGAAGCCCUGCGAGUGCCCCGAGUGCAGGAAGAGCUUCGUGCACUGCUCCAGCUCCAUCCCCCACUGCAGGACCCACGCUGGGCACAGCCCUGGUGACCCACAUUCCCUGUGAUCCGUGGUGGGAACACAUCUGGCUGCUCCUCCUUUUGGUUUGGCCUUAAUGUUUUUUUUCUCUUCUCAAUCUUUGCAGUCCAAAAGCCAAGUCGAUGGGUCUGUUACUUCAGAAUAACUCAGCCCCACUGAAAACAACUCAGUUGUUGAAUGAAAGCUCAAUAGCACCAGGGAUUUGCUUCUUCCCACCUCAAAAAACUCAAUCCCACAACAAAGUCACUCGACUCCAAAGCCACCAGGCUGACAUGGGGUUAGAAUGACACUGGGAGAAGUGGGAUCCCAGUUUAGUGCAGAGCCUUCAGGAGGACCUUCAGGAACGGGAAAGGAGGAGGAGGAAGAGGAGGAGGAGGAGGAGGGAGGGAGGAAGAGGCCGAGCAGCAGCAGAAGAGGAGAGGGAGAAUCUCGUGGCCCUGGCGGUCCCUGAAGCCGCCGCAGCCCCGGGAGCAUCGCCCCCCAUCCCGCAGGGCAGCCUAAACAAUAAUUGGUGACCCCUGGAUGUGUGAAAUUGAUGGCAACCCCAGGAGUGACCACAGAGUCCAGCCUGGAGCUGAAGAAACGAGACCCUGAAGAUGGGCAGAGUUCACAGCCAAGGCAAACAGGAGAACCUGUUGGACUUUCCUGGACAUUGUGUCCAGAGACCGCAGAGCAGCAGAGCUGCACAGCUGGAUCCACAAGGACACUGUCUAAAGGUACUGUUAUUUUUUCACUUCCUGAAGAUCCUGCCAUUCGCAGAAGGUGGGAGGAAAGUUGGGAAAAUGUACCUUCGGAAGCUCAGGUUCCAUUUACUGCGUCAGAGAAGAAAGUUAUUAAACUCUGGCACAGAUGGGGACACGAGAACGGAGUUAAUAGUGUGUGGGGGAGACUGUGUUAUGAGUUUUUAAGAUGGGCAAAAUUUCAUAGAUUUUUUACAAAUGUCGUAUACUCCCUUGAUUUAGAUCUUUGGGAGUUCAUGGACACUGCUUUUGAGUGGACAAAGGACCAGGGUGUUACACUCCCAACAAUGUAUGGAGUGCACCUAUGGCUCUUAUUCUGUAUUUUGGAAAAAAGGGAGGCUGCAGGGGACAUCGUGGCUCGGUGGCGCGGUCGCGCUCCGUUUCCACCAGGUUCGGCACGAGAGGAGCCUCUCAAAGAAGACGAACCGCGGGUUCGCAGCCCCCCCGCAUUACCCACA